ensembl:lncRNA
AACACCGAGGAGCUGACAGUACUGCUUUGGUGCACCGGAGAUUAAGAAGAAUGAACCAAGAAGUUCAAAUUGCUGUCAGUUCCUGCAUCAAAUCAAAAGCCUACCUAUGUCUGCAUUCACACGGAGGGAGCUGAUUGCUCAGAGUACCAGAAAAGGAGGACAGGACACCCAAAGGAACUUAGAUUAACGUUACCUGCUUGCUGAGAUGGGUGAGUAGAUAAACGUUCCUUGGAAAGGAGCUCUCUGUCUUUCUCACGUUGCUGCUCUGAUCACGGAGUUUCUCAUUGCAGCCUGCUGCCGUGGACGUGAUGGAGGGGCACACAUUGACCUGCCUUCAUUCUGUAUAUCCCCAAGAUGGAGAGAGCGUCGUUAUCGAGGCGUAUCUUUUGAAGCAGUGAAUAAGUAAAGAAAACCACGAGGUGGUAGAGCAGAACAUAGGGAAGGACGGCCCAUCUCCAAGCACCUGAGGCACGUCCUAUUGGUCUUGCUUUAAAGAGAGCCCAUUCCACGUAGCCUGAUGCUCAAAGAGAAGCUUUGCAUCAAGUGCUGCUCCACGACUUCUCCCAGUCAUUACCUGGAAGCUGCAUCCUUCAUUAAUCCCAUGCAUGGCAACGAGACGUCUGCUCACGGCUUCCCCCAGCGUGCCUUCCUGAUGUGCUGCUGCAGCAGGAGAGAAAGUUUUGGUGGCGCUGACGCUGGGAGGUGACAGGAGAAGAGGUAACCGAGAGGAGAGGAGCAAGCAAGGCUUGCACGAAGCAUUCCAGCAACUGGAGAACGUUCCUCUUAGCUGCCAACCGAACGGAAUGGAAAGAAGAAGG